rnacentral:rRNA from 1 species
AAAUCGGAGGAAAAGAAACCAACCGGGAUUGCCUUAGUAACGGCGAGUGAAGCGGCAAAAGCUCAAAUUUGAAAUCUGGUACCUUCGGUGCCCGAGUUGUAAUUUGGAGAGGGCAACUUUGGGGCCGUUCCUUGUCUAUGUUCCUUGGAACAGGACGUCAUAGAGGGUGAGAAUCCCGUGUGGCGAGGAGUGCGGUUCUUUGUAAAGUGCCUUCGAAGAGUCGAGUUGUUUGGGAAUGCAGCUCUAAGUGGGUGGUAAAUUCCAUCUAAAGCUAAAUAUUGGCGAGAGACCGAUAGCGAACAAGUACAGUGAUGGAAAGAUGAAAAGAACUUUGAAAAGAGAGUGAAAAAGUACGUGAAAUUGUUGAAAGGGAAGGGCAUUUGAUCAGACAUGGUGUUUUGUGCCCUCUGCUCCUUGUGGGUAGGGGAAUCUCGCAUUUCACUGGGCCAGCAUCAGUUUUGGUGGCAGGAUAAAUCCAUAGGAAUGUAGCUUGCCUCGGUAAGUAUUAUAGCCUGUGGGAAUACUGCCAGCUGGGACUGAGGACUGCGACGUAAGUCAAGGAUGCUGGCAUAAUGGUUAUAUGCCGCCCGUCUUGAACCCACGGGACCA